CCUCCCAGGUCACUGCCAAAGAAUUGGGUGAUGAGGUCCAGACCAGUGUCUCGUGAUCCUGCCGUCUGGCUAAGUGGCUACCCUUCCACCCUUGCUGGUCUCCAAAGCAAGUUGCCAUUUUAUUUACCACCUGUGUGAACACAGGGAUGGUUGUAAGCCCCACGUGCAGAAACACCACCUGGGUUUCAAAUCAGGAGUCAGCGAUGCAAGGAGAGAUGAAGAGGAAGAGUCUUUCGUGGCCAGCGGCCGAGGAUGAGAGCAUCAUUCGUGGCUGAGUGGGAGCAGUGGUGGACACUGUCCAGGGCUGGUUGUGUCGUCAGCGUGAGAUGCAAGGUCAGGGCGAGAAUGGAAGAUGAGGCCGCUUGCUGUUUCGACAUUGUCAGGCGUGUCUCAAAUGCCCUCGUGUUCUCACGUUACCCCCGCAAGGUCUCCGAGCAACCAAAAGAAAUGGCUCCUGUUUCUCUCCUCUGCUUUUGUCUUCCCAGGGCAGUGAAAAGACCAACAUGUCCUUGGAACAUUUCACGUCACCUGAAAAACAGCCUUUUUUUUUUUUCCUCCCUAAAAAUAUAUUGACUAAAAUAAAUUAAGUACAAAAAAAAAA